AGGGAAUCUUCCGCAAUGGACGAAAGUCUGACGGAGCAACGCCGCGUGAGUGAUGAAGGUUUUCGGAUCGUAAAGCUCUGUUGCCAGGGAAGAACGUCUUCUGGAGUAACUGCCAGGAGAGUGACGGUACCUGAGAAGAAAGCCCCGGCUAACUACGUGCCAGCGGCCGCGGUAAUACGUAGGGGGCAAGCGUUGUCCGGAAUUAUUGGGCGUAAAGCGCGCGCAGGCGGCUGUUUAAGUCUGGGGUUUAAGCCUGGGGCUCAACCCCGGGUCGCACUGGAAACUGGACGGCUUGAGUGCAGAAGAGGAGAGUGGAAUUCCACGUGUAGCGGUGAAAUGCGUAGAGAUGUGGAGGAACACCAGUGGCGAAGGCGACUCUCUGGGCUGUAACUGACGCUGAGGCGCGAAAGCGUGGGGAGCAAAC
rnacentral:rRNA from 1 species